rnacentral:lncRNA from 1 species
UCAAAAAAAGUAUUUCAUAAUUCAUUUAUGAAUCUAGUUAAUAUGUUCACCAGGUACUAGAUAAAACCGCAAACUCUAACAAUUUUCAACAAUUUCCUUAUUUUUAGCACUGCUUAAUCUACAUAGACUCCUUAGGUUUCAGAACCAAAAUCCAGGUCCGAGUGCAGGUUUAGCCUUUUCGGAUACGAAUCCGGACGAAUAUUUUCUAUACUAGAUCCAGAAAUAAGCCCGCCUUUUUCCACUCCGGGUCCGGUCCAGGUUCAAUCCGGGAAAAUCCGGGUUCCUGAAUUGUGGGUUUUCAAUCCGAAUUAAUGAAUCCAAUUGAAAAAAAAAACUGAAAUUAACUGAAAAAUCAAAUAGAAAUACAAAUCCAGGAUUUCAGCAAAUCAAAUACAAAUAAGCUCGUUUGUUUCUUGGUUUGAACCUCCCACUUAUAAUCAACGGUAUCCUUUUCCCUUAAUUUAUUAACAGCAACAUCCAACAAUUAAAAAAUAUUUCAAAAUUAAAUAAACUAUAAAUAAUAAAAUGGAAGCAUAUCAAAGCACAAAUAUUCAAAUCAAAUCAUAACAAAGCAUAAAUCACAUAAUUAUAAAAUGGAAGACAUCAACUUUCAACAACAAAAGUAGGAACUUAUAAUCCGAUAUUCACAAACUUGAAGGAUUGGCAUCCGGUGAAUCAACAAACGGCAAACGCAAACUCGUUGAUUCUGACUGUAUCAGAGUUGGUUACGACAACACUUGAUGAUGAUGAACACAGCCGUAAUCGUGAUUGGCGAAGGUGCCGUUCAACCCACAUCACAGUUGGUUAUUGAUCGCGCCAAAGAAGACAAGGAAACAACAGCUGAUUAUGAUGAUGAACAGCCGUGAAAGUGGGCAAACGAUGAAAACGAUGAUUUAAUGAAGAUGAGCUAAAGAGGGACUGAGAGAGGAAAUGUUUAUUGGGACUGUGAAAGUAUAAAUGAAUUAAGGCACCAUUUGGGCUCUAUUUUUUUUCCUAUUUAUAUUAAAAAUAAAUUUAAAAAAAUUAAUAUUAAAAUUAUUAAAUAUCCAGGUCCGAAUUCCAAAUAUAUGGGUUCACCCAAACCCAAAACCAGACCCGAUCAUAUGCGAGUUUUAAAAAUGGCAUCCGAAUACUGAAUUUUAUUUAAUCCGUUUAACCCAAUCCGGAAAGUCUGAGUUCGUCCUGGCCGAGUCCGAGUUCAAUUGCCAUCCCACAUAGCAAUCUAACAACUUCCUUGUUUUUAGCACCGCUUAAUUUUCAUAGCAAUCUAACUCACUAUAUUUUUACAAUUCAAAUAAACAAAUUAUUUUGAUUUUCAUUCUCCAUUUUGAUUUCAGUAUCUGAGUAUCUUCUCAGGGGCUAAAUUUCAUAGCAAUCCAACUCUAUAUUUUUACAAUUCCAAUAAACAAAUUAUUUUGAUUAUCAUUCUCCAUUUUCAUUUCAUUAUAUUCUCAUUUCUACUAGUUCCAAUUUCAAUCCAUUCCGAUCUCCCUUCAAUAAACAUAAUACUAAAAUUUUCAUGAGUUCAUCCUCUUUAUGACAACCGAUAUUUCAUAAUCCAGGCCAUUGGGCAGAGCCACUGUUGAGUGUAGGACUCUGCCUUAUAUAACAAAUUCCUGGGUGUUUGUUCAAAGCUAAUUUUGGGACCAACAAUUCACAACAAAUCUUCACGAAUAAGAAAUAAUAAUAAUUAAACCAAUGAAAUUGCCAAACACCUAGUUAGUAACGUUUUUAAUGAUCAGCAAAAUGCACAAAAAAACUUCUUAAGAGCAGGGGAUAACCAGGGAGACUA